AGGGGAAUAUUGGACAAUGGGCGCAAGCCUGAUCCAGCCAUGCCGCGUGAGUGAUGAAGGCCCUAGGGUUGUAAAGCUCUUUCACCGGUGAAGAUAAUGACGGUAACCGGAGAAGAAGCCCCGGCUAACUUCGUUCCAGCAGCCGCGGUAAUACGAAGGGGGCUAGCGUUGUUCGGAUUUACUGGGCGUAAAGCGCACGUAGGCGGACUAUUAAGUCAGGGGUGAAAUCCCGGGGCUCAACCCCGGAACUGCCUUUGAUACUGGUAGUCUUGAGUUCGAGAGAGGUGAGUGGAAUUCCGAGUGUAGAGGUGACAUUCGUAGAUAUUCGGAGGAACACCAGUGGCGAAGGCGGCUCACUGGCUCGAUACUGACGCUGAGGUGCGAAAGCGUGGGGAUCAAACAGG
rnacentral:rRNA from 1 species